UACGUAGGGUGCGAGCGUUGCCCGGAUUUAUUGGGCGUAAAGGGCGCGUAGGCGGCCACGCACGUCCGUUGUGAAAUCGCCCGGCUCAACUGGGCGGGGUCAGCGGAUACGGUGUGGGCUCGAGCCAAGCUAGGGGGCAAUGGAAUUCCCGGUGUAGUGUGGAAUGCGUAGAUAUCGGGAGGAACACCUGUGGCGAAGGCGCCCCCUGGGCCGGCCCUGACACCUGAGACGCGGAAGGCGUGGGGGAGCGAACGGG
rnacentral:rRNA from 1 species